rnacentral:rRNA from 1 species
GGCCCUAUGGGGUGCAGCAGGCGAGAAAACUUUGCAAUGUGCGAAAGCACGACAAGGUUAAUCCGAGUGAUUUCUGCUAAAGAAAUCUUUUGCAAGUCAUAAAACCACUAGUGAAUAAGGGGUGGGCAAGUUCUGGUGUCAGCCGCCGCGGUAAAACCAGCACCUCAAGUGGUCAGGAGGGUUAUUGGGCCUAAAGCAUCCGUAGUCGGCUCUGUAAGUCUUCGGUUAAAUCCAUGUGCUCAACGCAUGGGCUGUCGAAAAUACUGCAUAGCUAGGGAGUGGGAGAGGUAGACGGUACUCGGUAGGAAGGGGUAAAAUCCUUUGAUCUAUCGAUGACCACCUGUGGCGAAGGCGGUCUACCAGAACACGUUCGACGGUGAGGGAUGAAAGCUGGGGGAGCAAACCGGAUUAGAUACCCGGGUAGUCCCAGCUGUAAACGAUGCAGACUCGAUGAUGCAUUGGCAUAUAGCCAGUGCAGUGUCGCAGGGAAGCCGUUAAGUCUGCCGCCUGGGAAGUACGUACGUAAGUAUGAAACUUAAAGGAAUUGGCGGGGGAGCAC